CCCUUAGAUGUUCUGGGCCGCACGCGCGCUACACUGAUGCAUUCAACGAGUCUAAAACCUGCUCUGAUAGGGGUGGGUAAUCUUUUGAAUGUGCAUCGUGAUUGGGAUAGAUGAUUGCAAUUUUUCAUCUUCAACGAGGAAUGCCUAGUAAGCGCAAGUCAUCAGCUUGCGUUGAUUACGUCCCUGCCCUUUGUACACACCGCCCGUCGCUCCUACCGAUUGAAUGGUCCGGUGAAGCGCUCGGACCGCGGCCUCUUGACGGUUCGCUGUCGAUUGGCUGUGGGAAGUUCGUUAAACCUUAUCAUUUAGAGGAAGUAAAAGUCGUAACA
rnacentral:rRNA from 1 species